rnacentral:lncRNA from 1 species
AACGUAUUAGUGAUAAUGGUUUAAGUCUUAAAUCUUUCACUUUAUAUAUUUAUGUGUUUGAAAAAUAUGUUAGUUGGUUGGAAGACUAAAAAGCCAUUAUCACUAAAAAAUUGUUAAUACUUUAUACAUAGUUGAAAAGUUCAAUUAGUUGGUUAAAAGACUAAAAAGUCAAAGUUGAAAGAGACAAAAUUCGGUUCAAAUACCAUAAAAAUAAAGAAAAUCUGAUACCCUUUCAUUUCUUUGUAUUUUCUCUUUCAUAUACGAUUUCUUAAUUCGUCCCAACAUAACUUUCUAGAACCGGUCUAAGUAAUGUGCGCAUUACAAAGUUCAUGAUGCAGAAUGCAUUUGAUUCAUCCUAUUGGUUUGGCUUGGCUCACGUGAAAUAAGUAGCUUCCAAAUAAAUGUAAGAAUUCCCAACGAACCCCCAAUUCUGUCUUUUUUUGUUAGCCUAUCCAUAAUUCCUAAUAGAAAUAUAUAAACGAAACUUGAAUUAGAAUUAUUCUAGUUAACAUAGAAUCAAAAGUACAACCCUUGAAUCUCUGAAUUUGUAUAAGUGGAAAUUCGCUUUUUAUCAUUCAAUGAACAUCAACUAUUUCAUAAGAAUUGGGGACAAUAUAAUCCUUACAUGAGGUUCAUCCCAUCCAACUUUCAGGCACUAUGAUAUGUUUCAAGCGUGGAUGAUUAUCAUAAGAGAUUCCCAACAUAUCAUAAGAUUCUCAUUUUUGAAAAUCCACACUUUUCCAAACCUAGAAAAUGGACCGAAUUCUAGGAUUCCUCCUUAAGGCAAAAACUGUUAUCCAUACUUCUUCUGGUUGAUCCACACCAUACUCUAUUCUUGUAAGAUGAUACAUAUUAGCUAACAGUCCAUCAAGUGCUGUAUCAUAGGCACAUUAGGAGUGUAGAUAAUUGUAACCAUAUACAUAUAAAAUGACAGCAAUGGAAUGCCAGUCCUUGGGCUUUAUUUGUAAAGUCUCUAUUCCAGAUAAUGAAAUCCCAAAGAUCUAUGAAUUGGUCCAUGUUUGACUAACCAAACAGACAAAUGACCAUGCAUCUUUUUUAUCUCCCACAUUUUCAGCUAGAAUAUUUCACAUUCUCGAUCAAAUUUAUGAAGAUUCACCCACUACUUGUUAUUCUGUACAAUACAAAGGAAUCUUAUCUAAUUCACUAAUUUGAGAGAAGAUAUUGAAUUUUUAUAUUUGAAAAAGUUUUCAGUAGGGAUCUCUGAAGUAGAUGGCGAUUGAUAAAGGAAUCACUGAUCAUAAUUUGUAGUAUUCAUAAUACAUCCAACAUGAAACUUGUGAUUGGUAGUAAAACACCGAUUUUUUUGUUGAGACCUAAUUCUAUCUUCAUAGAUUUCUCGAGAUAUUUUCUUAUGAAGCUUUGUUAUAGCAUCUAUAAUUGCUUCCGGUGUAGGUGGACAACUUGGCUAAUAGACAUCCACAAGAAUUAGCUUAUCGACUACCCAAACAGUACUAUAAGAAUCAGUACUGAACAUCCCUCCUGUAAUUGUACAGGCUCCCAUAACAAUAACAUAUUUUUGUUCGGUCUCAUAUAAUCUUACUAAAGAUGUGCCAUUUUCAUUGUUAUUGUCCCGGCUGUUAAAAUUAGAUCUGCUUGUCUAGGACUCGAUCUUGGUACUAAUCUAUAACGAUCAAAGUCGAAUCAUGAUCCUAUUAGUGAAGCAAAUUUAAUAAAACAACAACUAGUAUCACAGAAAAGUGACCAUAAACUAGAGAGCCUCGACCAAUUUGAAAGAUCAUUUAAUGUAGUUGAGAUAACUGAAUUUUGGACUAUUUGAUCAAGUAAAGGAAACUCAAUGGAAUUCAUAACUUUUUCAAUCUUUUUUUUCCCUUUUGUUUUUAUUGUCUGAAUAUUCAGGAGCUAAAACCAUUCCAAUGCCCCCUUUCGUCGUGCAUAAACUAAACCAACAAUUAAGAUAAGUGUGAAAAUUAUAGCUUCUAUAGAAACAAAUACACCCAAUAUAUCGAAACUCAUUGCCUAUGGAUAAAGAAAAACCAUUUCAACAUCAAAAACAACAAAACAAUAGCAAACAUAUAAUAAUGGAUUCGAAAUUGUAACCAAGCGUUGCCGAUUGGUUCUAUACCCGAUUCAUAACUAGAAAGUUUCUCUGGCCUUUUCCUAAUCGGGGCUAAAAUCUCGAAAAUCAAAAAUAUCUAAAUAGGAAUAAGACUUGAUAUUAUUAGAAAUGCCCAAAAAAAUAUCAUAUUCGUAAAGCAAAAACAUAGACGCACUCCUAUGAACAUGGAAAAUAUACCUGAUGGAUCGAUUCGAAUUGAAAUUGUCAAGUCAUCCAUAACUGUUUAGUCAAAACAAGAAUUCAUUUUGACCAAACCAUCUAGUUUUCUUUGUUUAUUGCAGGGCAUAUCUCAUUUCAAGAUUCAUUGACUGGCUUGAUUGGAAUCCUAUUAAGAGUCUAUUUAUUUAUUU